AAUGCCUGAGUCUGUAAUAGCUUAGACUUGUUACAUAUUUACAAUUGUAAUAGUUUUAGUCUAGGGAGGUUUCUCACACUUUCAACGCGAAGAUGUUACCAAAACGCGAUACUCAUUCAGGUACGUUUGCAUGCAUGCAUCCAACUACAUUCAUCUAUAUCCAUAUGUUAUUGUAUUUGGGUUAGGACUUUUAUUCUUGUGUGUUUUACUUUUCUAGAAUGAAUUAUCCUGUCUUUCAAACCGUGUCAUCAAACUGAUUUUUCAAAAUAUGUUUUCAAACUUAUCUGUUUGCAUGAAGAGUUAUCUGAUUGCAUGUUGGUAGAAUUGUUAAACUACAUGGAUUGCUUUGUAGUACUUAUCAGAUAAAGGGCCGGUACUGUUGAUAUAUAUAUGGGAAGUCAGGAACGUGAAGGGUUGAGCGAUAUAUGCAUGAAAAACUGAUUUUAUUGAAAAAGAAUCUUUAGAAACAUCAGCUUGGGUUUUGUGUGCAUGGAAAAUCAAUUUAAAUAUUGAUGUUAGCUUGUGGUUCGAAUAGCAUGAGGUUUUAAGAGAAAAUAUUGUUUUCAUGCUGAUUUCAUUUAGGUUUUAAAUUGAAUAUCAAUUAUGGAAAUGUGCCUUGUGAUUUUCGUAAUUGAUUGUUUUUCAAACAAACACUUCAUCAUAUAAUCAUUCUGCAUGAUCGAGUUAGUAUCUUGCAAAGUUCGAGGAAAAGGUGAUUGACGGCUGCGUUAGUGCCGUGCCACUUCAACUCGAAGACUGACGAAAGAUCGAGUAGCAAAGCGCGAAGACAAAGCUGCCAACUAGUAUGUGUGUCUAGUUGAAGAGUUCUUGUAAGUCUUUAUGUAUUCUUUCUUUCUUAGUGCUUCCUGGCUUGGUAGCCCGAGGAUUUUCCCAGUGGUGGGUUUUGCCUCGUUAAAUCUUACAUCAUGUGCGUACUCUUUAUAUUUGUGCUGAAUAUUUGUGUAGGAUUAUAUUUGCACAUCUGAUUGAUUUAAACCAUAAAUUGAAUUAGUGUUAAGUUGGAGUUUAUUUAUAUUACUAGAUUAAAUUAGUAUCCAUCCUAGAACUUUCAAUUGGCACCAGAGCAGGUCACUAAAAAUACCUAGUGAGAUCCGUGGGUAGUCUAGGAUGAAUCGUGCUAUGGGUUCAGUUUCUCAUCCACCACAUUUUGAUGGUGACAACUAUGCUGCGUGGAAGGCAAAAAUGAAAUCGUUUUUAUGGGCGCAAGAUGACAAGGUGUGGCUUGCUAUUGAAGAAGGUUGGGAACCUCCAACGAUUGAAGAAACUAAAGAUAAAGGAGAGUCCUCUGUGUCUAUAUCUAAGCUUAAGCCUAGGAAAGAAUGGAGCAAUGAUGAGCGUAGCUCUAGCACUUUUAACCAAAGGGCUUUGAAUUCUUUAUUCACAGCCGUUUCGCCUGAACAAUUCAAUUACAUAAGUAAGUGUACAACGGCGAAAGAAGCUUGGGACAUUCUUGAAGUUACUCAUGAGGGUAACUCAACUGUUAAAGAAUCCAAACUUCAACAUCUCAUCACAAAAUUCGAAAAUAUCACAAUGUCUGAUGAUGAAAGUUUCUCUGACUUUUAUGCUAAGCUUAGCGUAAUUGUCAAUGACUGUCACAAUCUUGGUGAUAGUAUUCCUGAGCAUAGGAUUGUGAAAAAGAUCUUAAGAUCACUUCCUAUGAGGUUUCAUGCUAAGAGGACAGCGAUUGAGGAAUCGAAAGAUCUAAACACAUACAAGCUUGAGCAAUUGAUUGGGUCUCUGCAAACGUACGAGUUAGAGCUUCCUGAUUCCAAGAAGAUGAAAAGCAUUGUUCUCAAAGCUGUCAAAGAAGAAGAAAGUGAUGACUCAAUUGAAGACUUGUCCGAAGAUGAAUUGGUUGAAUUAACCAUGCAAAUUAGAAGGUUUCUCAAGUAUCAAAAUUCCAAGGGUCGUGAGCAACGAACCAACUCAGGUUCAAACUCAAAAAACUUUCGUUCUUUAGAUGUCUCACAUGACAAAGCAUCUAGAUCAUCUAGAACUAGUGAACAUAGGAGGGGAUGCAUCUACGUCGGAAUCUGAGAAGGAUACGAUUGCGUUUAUAGGAACUGUUGAUGGAUAUGACACAGAAGGUUCAUUUGUUGAAGAACCUGACUUGGAAGAAGUCUUGAGAAAAUAUUCUGAUCUCUAUGACAUCAGUGUGCAAUUAAAGAAGGAUAACUCUAACUUGAAGAAGAAACUUGCAUUUGUUGAAAGUGAAAAGAAAGAAGCUGAAGUUGAGCAUCAAUCUCAGUUAGACAAUGGAGAGAAACUGCGAGAGUCGCUGUUAGAGAAGAUUCACAUUCUACAAACCACAAUUAACACUCUCUCGUCUGAUAAGAAAGCUCUUGAGGAUGAAGUGGUUGAGAUGAGAAGAAAAGUUCAGGAGUUGAGCAUAGGUUCGGGGAAAAUUGACAAGAUGCUUAGCUAUGGAAAAAGUUUUGGAGACAAAGGAGGUCUAGGAUUCAAGUCUACAAAGACUACAAGUUCUUCUUCUGUCACCAGAUUUGUCAAAGCCUCUGAUAUUCCUAGGUUGAAAGUAGGUGACGAUAAAUGUUUAGGUCUUACUCCCGAAACAUCUACAAUCUUUGCACAUGUGUCAAAUCCUGUCAAGACUUCAAUUAAUCUUAACAAACCCAAACAAUCUAGGAAGUUCAUUCCUAUAUGUCAUCUUUGUGGGAUUCCUGGUCACGUCCGGCCUAAGUGCAAUAAGCUUAGAAAGAAAAAUUCUUAUCAAGAAAAAGUUUCAAGGAACUUUGAAAAAGAAAAUCUUAAGGAACAAUUUGUGACUUAUUUGAAAGAGAUUAAUCGGAUUGCAAGAAUUAUAUCUGUUCCAAGUACGGUAGUUCCAAAAGUGAGACAAGUUUGGAGAAGAAAAGAGAAUCAAAGUGGUGUACUUGUCAAUUUAUCUCCACCUUCAAGUUGUUUAUAUUGACUAAGCUCUCUCUUUGCAAAUGUUUUCAUUAAUGUAUGCUUGCAUGUUCAUAUAGCAUAAAUACUGCAUUUUUUGUCUUUCUUCUUGUUAAAAAAUAAAAAAUAAAAAUAAAUAAAUAAAUAAAUAAAUGUAUGAGGAAAAAUGGAAAAGUAUGAUUUCAUAUGAGUUCUAGCUUUGUUCACUUGAUAACAUGACCCUAGCAUGAUAUGUUUGACUCUGUUGUGGACAAUAGCCUCUUGUUGAUAAUAUAUCAAUGUUAAUGAGUUGAACAUGUUUAACUUGAGUAAAACCCACACCCAUGUGAGCUUUUGUGCCUAAGUAUAGUGUCUGCAUUUUUCAUACACUCUUAUUUUUUUUUCAUGUGUGUGAUCUUAUGUGUUUUGCUGCUCUAGAACUUGCUUUGAGACCUCUCAAAACUUUGUAUCAUAUAUUAUUCUAUUUUGGAGACGAUAGUAGGCAUUAGGACUUACCAUCAUUGCCAUAUAUGCCAGUGCCUUACAUGUUUUCCCCUAGUUAGCCAUUUUGAGCCUAUAUGUAAGUCUUUGUUCUUAAACCUACAUUCCUUACCUAGCCUCUUAUAUUAAAAAUUCCCUACCCUACUAAGAAGCUAGUAGAGUACGUUUUUCAAAAGAGAGAGUUCAAGGUUAUUUAAAGGUUGAAGAUGCAAAUUUUGUGAAGAAAGCCAACUACAAAUGAAGAGCAAAAGAAGAAAAUAUGAAAAGAAGUCACUAUGAAUCACAAGUGAGCUGCCAACAUUAUAAGAAAUCAAGUGUGUCAUUGUAAAUGAAAAGGAAGAAUCAUUAGAAAUCAACUGUGCAGUUAUAUGUCGUUCAUCCAACCACUCAAUUUACUGCCAAGUUGCUUCGUUAACUGUUGCAUGCUUCUCUCGGUUUCAUUUCCAACUACUCUAUUAGUUUCUUAGACUUUGUGUUUCCUAUAUCCUUCAUUUCUUUAACCGAGUACCUGAAGCCCCAUUACACCUUUAACAAAGACCUACUUGAUCCAAAGAAGUUAAUUUUUGAUGUGUGGAGAUGAGAUCAAUCUGCAAGCCUAUGAUAGAGCAUUCAUGUAACGAUCUUUUGAGCGUAUACACUUACCCCCAAACACUUUGAAUGAAAAUUCGAGCGUAUAUCUUGUGAGCUUAAGGGUUAAAGUUAAGUUGGUCCUGUAAGACUUAAUUACAUUUGUGUAGUAGUAUCAACUUUUGGCUAUACUUGCAACUACACUCAUACAUGUUAUGUUUUAGGGACAAUGUUAGCUUGUAAAUGAGGAUUCAGAACUACAUGUGUUUUUGCACUCUUUCAUUCUUGUUGGAACAAUUAUAUGCUUCUCAUACAAUUAAAAAAAAAAAAAAAAAAGAAGAAGAAUCAUAUCAUUUGUGUGUUGCAUUUCAUUAUUUUUUAAAGCAUUUGUUUAGGGGGAGCUUAACAAUAUGAAAGAUGCAUUUCUUUUCAUGUUUAUCUUUUCGACUAUUGCACCUUAUUCUUUUCCCUCCCAAUUUCAUCCCCACUUUUAUUCUUCCGAAGCGGUCCUAGUUCACAGAAAGGAAAUCUUUCUCCAUCACAUUUUGUUAUGUUCCACUUAUCUUCCGCUGACUGCACCUGAUGGUUACCUCUAAGGCCUUUGACCUUUCUAGACAAAAAGGAGGAGAAGUAGGAAGCUUAUAUUUAGGGGGAGAAGUAGAAUUUCGAAAACCUGAUUGCUUUUUGUUGCUUGCUUUUAUAGAUAAAUGCUUUCAUUUUCAGCAACGUAUAUCUUUUGUACGUCACAGGUUUUCUUGUUUAACUGUGUGCAGAUUACAGACUUAAGUGCAUAAGGUUUAAGACUUCUAAAAUGUCGUAAUUAAGGGUUUUGUCAAGGAAAUGCCAAAGGGGGAGAUUGUUAGGGUAAAAUUGGCAAUCCCUGACAAAAUGCCUGAGUCUGUAAUAGCUUAGACUUGUUACAUAUUUACAAUUGUAAUAGUUUUAGUCUAGGGAGGUUUCUCACACUUUCAACGCGAAGAUGUUACCAAAACGCGAUACUCAUUCAGGUACGUUUGCAUGCAUGCAUCCAACUACAUUCAUCUAUAUCCAUAUGUUAUUGUAUUUGGGUUAGGACUUUUAUUCUUGUGUGUUUUACUUUUCUAGAAUGAAUUAUCCUGUCUUUCAAACCGUGUCAUCAAACUGAUUUUUCAAAAUAUGUUUUCAAACUUAUCUGUUUGCAUGAAGAGUUAUCUGAUUGCAUGUUGGUAGAAUUGUUAAACUACAUGGAUUGCUUUGUAGUACUUAUCAGAUAAAGGGCCGGUACUGUUGAUAUAUAUAUGGGAAGUCAGGAACGUGAAGGGUUGAGCGAUAUAUGCAUGAAAAACUGAUUUUAUUGAAAAAGAAUCUUUAGAAACAUCAGCUUGGGUUUUGUGUGCAUGGAAAAUCAAUUUAAAUAUUGAUGUUAGCUUGUGGUUCGAAUAGCAUGAG
rnacentral:lncRNA from 1 species